CGAGGGGAGGGGUGUCUGUGAUGACCUUCUCAAGGCCAAAAACUUCAGGACCAGCAGGAUUCCUCCAGGGAAUGUUUUCUGGAAGAGCGUUAGCUGCGCGUUGCCAGGCUGACUGAGAGGGCACAGGCCUGCAGGGCACCCAGGGUUCCGCCUCUGCACUGCUGCCAGGCUCUGGCUGUGUGACCCGUCACCCUCCAGGCCUCAACAUCCACACUCAUGUCAGCAGGGUGAUGACAACUUCCCGGGGAUCCCAGAACGUCACCUGCCUCGACUGCAGGCAGCCUCUGGGCACAUGGCCCAUUCACAGAGCGUUUGGGUUUUUUCUUUAAGCAUGCUGGUCAUGACAGAAAGUAAAAUAUUAACCAAGAAGAAUAAUCUCACAUUUAACUAUAGCUUCACCCAAACACGUACAUCUGUAGCAACGUAAUUAUAGGAGACUGAGAGGGCCUGGGCCUCCUCAUUCCAGGCUGUGCUUUUCCCUUGAGAAGCAACAGAGGUAGGAGACUGCGGCUGUUCUGACCUCUGGACUGGUUAGAGAGCGUUUGUAGAGUAAAAACAUACAUAGGAGGCUGUGUGUUCUGGGAGGAGCUAGCAAAUCGGCAGGCGACAGCGCGGGGGACACGCGGCCUGCAGAGCAUGUGGGAACAACCACCUGCUUCGAGGCCUGUGCUCUGCCUCGACGGCUUUCUCUCUAGAGCUCGAGUCUCUUGUGGCAGGAAGUGAGUAUGAAUGAAUCAGUUAACCAUUCUGUAAACUGGGAAGUUGUCUUGUGACCAGCCUUCAUGCAGGCAGGUGCCUCCCCCGCGUGCCCGACGCUAACUCAAGCCUUGUGUUUUGUGGGCCAUGUGGCCUCGCCCGGGACGAGGGUAGGCGUGACUGUCCAGCCUCCAUGUCACCAAGGUGGCAUGUUCAUUUGUUGAGCUCACAUGCUCACCAGCUGUCCCAGCCGGGAGAUGCUCGGGAAAACUGCUACCGCACGGCGGCACAGGGGCCAUAAACAUGUCACCACUGGACAUAACGGAAGCUGCCGAUGACACCACACGCGAAGCCUCUCGUGGGUUCCAAGUAUUUUUACACGGCCAGACCUGGCCCUGUUCCUCGUUCAGCAGCCUCUCUGUGGAAACCUCCUUCUGCUGCCGGGACCUGCAGCAGCCCACAACUGGGGGUGGGGCUGGGGAUGCUUUCACCCCCGACCAGGGGUUGUGCCCGGGAGUGUUCCAGCUUAGCACCCCCCAUUGUCCCCAGAGCUGGGAGCUGUGGGUCUUUCCACUGUUGGUCACGACUCUGUCCUGUCCCUGCACAUGAGAGCGGGUGGCUGAAAAAUCAACACCAAGUAAGCUUUGGAGGGAGCGUGUUUAACCUGCCCCCGGGUUUACACUGAAACCCUGCGCACAGUUUAUUAAGGGAUACUCCUUAAAGAAGGUCGGGGAAGGAUGAAGAAAAACAAGUUGCUUUUACGAGUCAAUUAAAUACAUAACAGUGCUCAACUCAUUUUGGCCUGUGUGGUUUAAAGACCAAAUAAGAAUAUGCUGUUAUUUAUUUAAAGGUGAAAUGAGGGUCUGGGCCCAUUUUGCACCAUUUAGCAAGUGAAUGGGUAGCUUGUGUGGUCAGACCUCACUUUGACUGACAGAGCUGGGAAAUGUGCAAGGAGCAUUUGCUGAUUAAUUUGCCGCCCUCCAUCCGUCUGUGUCCCCGUUCCUUCACCCCCCUGCGUGCCAGGCCGAGAUAUCCCAGAGAAUGUUUCCAGAGGAGGUCUGGACUCAAGUCUAAUAAAGGAAACCCCAGGAAAUCCAGAACAGAAAGUUAGCCUGUGACAGGAGGAAAUUUGUUUUACACUCCACAGCUGAACUUGUGGUUGCCUUUCUAAUGUCUCGUGGGCUGUGCUGAGGCUAGGGCAGGUCUCUCUCCCCUGCAUGGACAUAGCAGACACUCGCCAUGGUGGGGUGGAUUGAUGGACGUGGUACAAGCUGCAUGGACAUCGCAGACACUGCAGACAUCGCAGACGCUCACCGUGGUGGGUGGACUGAUGGACGUGGUGCGAACUGCAUGGACAUCGCAGAUACUACAGACAUCGCAGACACUCCAGACAUCGCAGACACUCGCCAUGGUGGGUGGAUCGAUGGAUGCGGUGUGAGCCGUAGGGACAUCACUCACUGUGGCAGGUGGAUUGAUGGACACAGUGUGAGCCAGUCAGUCUCUGACGCCAGCUGUUUUACAUUCCUGGGUAGCAUUUGUUCCCUCUGGUUUUCUUCAUUGGCAUCUUUCUCUUCUUUUAAGAAAUUCGUCAGAAGCAACGUGGUUCUUCCCAGUGAACACAGCAGAGGUCUGCCUGACAUUUUAGAUACAUUUCUCCAAUUCUCCUUCCGUUCCUCGCCAGCCACUGUGUGCUGCGCUGAGCCAAAGCCACAGGUGUGUUUGCCCGAGUGCUGGGCCCUGUCGGGAGGAGCCGUCUGAAGCCCCCGGUCUCCAUGGAAGGAGGUGCCCUGUGAGAGACGAUGUGCCAGGAGGAGGCUGGUGUGGCCGAGCAGACAAACUUACAUUCGGAGAGGCCUCAUCUGGGGAAACAGCCCAGGAGGGGCAGCAGCCGUUGGGCUCUGGAGUUGGCUGUGACUGGUGGCCAAGCACCCCUCAGGAUCAUCCCAGCCUUCCAGCUCCUGCCUCUAAGUCAGGAAAGGCUUCCCGUGCAUGGCAGGGCCUCCGCUGUGCUCUGGAGUUCUGGUCGGCCUCUGCUGGGAUGGGCCGGGCCUUUCUCUGGUGCCCAAGGGCCUUAGUGCCUCCCAGCCCCACCCUCCAGCCCUCCUUGAGCUAAGCACCUUCCCAGCCUCCUGCUGUCCUCUGGUUCACUCUCUGAAUGGGGAGUGUUGCUUUUUUGCUGAGGAUUCUCUUGGAAACGCUUUGAACUGAGAGAUGGACGCACAGUGGUGCCUCUGCCUCGGACGUUGGUGUCCCCUGUGGCCCCGUGGGAGUGGACGCUGGCAGUCGGGGCACUUUGGCUGUGGGAAAGGAGGACCACGCUGGCCACGGAGGCCUGAGUGUGUGGGACCAGGGGCAAGCAGGGAGAGCUGGCAUCCCCCCACCCCCUUCUCCAGUUACCAACCCUUAACCCGGAGAUCUCCAAGCGGAGUCCCCAUAGCUGCAGCACCAGCCUCCCUGGGCACGUGUGUGAAGUGCUCGAGGCAGGCCCCAUCCCAGACCUACAGAGCCGGGACGGGCGACCUCUUUCCACAGGCCCUGCAGAGAGUUCCCAUCUGGCUGAAAUCUGAGACUCCUGGUCUACAGAGUGCGAUUCUCUCUUCCUGCCGAGUGUCAGGAGCAGACCAGCUUCCCGAACAGUCACCUGCAGAGCUUCCGCUCCUUCAGGGAGGGCCCUGACGUCCUCGCGGUGGAAAUCCUCCACCUGGCCAGGUUCCGGCUGCCCUGGACCCCCUGGAAGACUCCAGGAUUGAGGAGCAGACGCAGGGCUGCCUGGAGCUGGCCUCACCCCUGGAGCCCUGCUCGUGCCGUUUUUUGGUGACACCCAUUCACGCUCCCACCCUCGCCUGUUCCUUGGAAUUAGACAGGACGAAGUCUGUGCCUCCUUCACCGGCAUAAACAGAAGCUAUUUAAGUUGAUGGACCCCAGCCCCAACCAAGACACAGGAUCUGAUGAUCCUCUGGAAGUGCCGUUUUUGCUCAGAUAGCAGCCGGGGGUGUCCUAAUUCCUGACCAGAGAUGGAGGUUUGACACACUCUGCUUUACACGUGAGGUUUUCUGAACAGCUUACGUAGCUAGAGGCUGUUUUGGAGAAGCAGAGAUAGUCGUGGACAUAGUUGCAAAUACCAAGGUUGUCAGUGGACGUGGAGAGGUUGGGCUCUGUGGCGCAGGAAGUGACGUUUCCCUCCUUGGAGGCUCAUCCCGUUAGAACUCAGCCUGCGGCUGGUUUGUGGCUCAGCCCGUUAGAACUCAGCCUGCGGCUGGUUUGUGGCUCACCCAUUAGAACUCAGCCUGUGGCUGGUUUGUGCCGUUCCAUGUUGCAGUUUUAGUUUUUUUUCUUUUUUUUUUUACGUUGAGCAGCCCUGGAUUAUGACAGGUGUCUGGCGAUGUCUUUCCUGACUGGAGCACAGCUCAGCCCCCGACCGGGGCCUCACUCUGCUGCCCCCCACCUGGGACACCGUGGCUCUGUCAGGAGGAUUCUCACCCCUAAACAAGCACAGUCUGUGGUGUCAAACCUGGCGGUGUCUGGAUGGGUGUGUUCUGGUGCUGUGAGGCUCCGGUCUGGGCCAUGGGGACGCGGGAGGCUGAGCGGGUGAAGGCAGCUGUGACGUGUGUGUCACGCCCUGUGCAGGUGCCAGGCGGGGGCUGUCAGUCCUCACAGCACCCAGGAGAGGGAAGCUUCUUGUGUUUGUCUUGCUGAUGAGGAAACGGCUCUGGGAGGGAAGUGCUUUGCCAGGCUCAUGCUGGGCCACAGCUGCCUGCUGCUUUCCUGAGAAGCUGUGCAAGGAAGUCGUGGAGGCCGAGUGGGCGGAACCUGUCUUGUGUAGGGCCGGGGUCACGCAGCUGUGCAGGGAAGCAGCCACAGGCACGGUGCUGUCCAGUGAGCGGGACUGUAUGCAUUUCACCUGAUUUCAGAUUUGAGCUGAACGUAAUGUUUGCAUGCAUGGGAUGUUAUCCUUUUGAUGAUUUUUUCAUUACUUAAAAUCUACCUUGCGGGCGUUACAGCAUAGGUUUUGGUCGGCGGCCCGGGUCUCUCUCUCCCUGGUCCUGGCAGCCAUGUACCCCAUGGACCCAGAGCAGGGAUCCAGGUUCCAGGCCCUCCUGGGCACUGCUGAAUUCUGUCCCACCGACUUUGAUGUUUUAUGUUUUAUUCUGAGCAUUUCUGUUUCUGUUGAUGCACUAUUUUUUUCUGGUUAUAGAAGGAAUAAUUUUUCUUUUAUCAACCACCCAGGCUGCAGCCACGUGUGACAGGUCAGGUUCUGGGAUGGGGAGAGGGCCUGGCCCGGAGGUCGGCGUCUCGCGGUUCUCACUGGACUCCACAGACGCUCGUUGCCCUGAGGGUGCGGCUGUGGCAGCGUCUGUGGGUGGCUGAGGAGACGGGACGUUCACUGUUCACCGGGCAGUUGCGCCCCAAGGGUGUUCUGGGGGCUGCCUCAUGUCCCAGAGCUAGAUCCACACGAUGCUGAGCCUCGUGCCACUGCGAGACCACCCCCAGUCAAAGAGACCAGUCCCCUGCCCCGUGGCCCUGCACCAGCCCCGCCUCUGGUGCCGUCUCUUUGGAAGCGACAGCAGGAGGAGGCUGCUCGCAGCAUUUGGAGGCUCGAGGGCCCAGUCUCUGGGUGGCCACAGCCGUGGUGCAGCGGAAGGAGGAAGAACUUAAGUCAGAGAGUCCUGGGCUCCAGUUUUGCCUUGAAGGCAGAGGCUUCACACGGUUGCUGUUCCAUACGAGUGCCAAGCAAGACCCUGGUGCCAGAGGUGUGGACUGAAAAUGAAGCCUGAACAUCCUGUGACUGUCAUGAAGCCGGUCGUGGUCGGCGGUCCGUGUGUGUCUGUCAGGCCAGGGCCCUGCUGCCUGCCCUCUGGCUUCAGGAAUCCAGCUGGGGAGAAAUGCUCGCUCUGAGUAGCCCUGGGAUUUUGACCCAGCUUGAAGCUGUAAACAGGCGGAGGUGGCUGAGUGGAGAGGCUUUGCUGUCACAGAGACCUGGGCCUGCCCUGCCGCCGUCCACCUGGAGCCCACCACAGCCUCACCCUCUGUCACCUGCCUGCUGCCAUCUGCCUGGAGCCCACCACAGCCUCGCUCCGUCACCUGCGUGCUGCACGUGGCAGACUGAACUGCAGGACGCCUGUGUUGCCCCCAGUUCUGCUGUUUAGGAAAAACUGUCUGUGCUAAGUUGGAUCUUCCUUGUGACUGAUUCAGAGCAGCCACAUUGUUACGGAAGAGCUGGGAACCAGACACGGGGUUCAGAGAGUCCUCGAGGUAUCAGAAGAACUCCUGGAGAGCAGGCCGAGGGCUGUGUGAUUGCCACACCCUCCGUGGGGCCCCGCUCCUGAGUUAGGCUGUGCCCAGCAGCCCAGUGAGUCAGAAGGAGGAGAUGCAGCCGUUCAGAAGCAGACCUCCAGCGUGGGAAAAUCAGACCCAUGGUGUCAGGGUGCACGAAGGCAGGACACACAGGCCUGUCCCCUGCGAAGGCCAGGACAUGAAGGCGGAACACACAGGCUCGUCCCCUGCGAGGGUCAGGACACGAAUGCGGGACACACAGGCUCGUCCCCUGCGAGGACCAGGAUACGAAUGCGGGACACACAGGCCUGUCCCCUGCGAGGACCAGGACACAAAGGUGGACACACAGGCUCGUCCCCUGUGAGGGUCAGGGUGCCCAGGGUCAAGGCUGGAGCCUGAACGCUGUCCACAGACCGUGGCUGGAUGGAGACCGCCAUGUUGAAAUGUUGUGCAUCUGCUCCAGGUGUGGGCGUGUGGUCCAGAGAGGAGGUGUGGGCCGUGCACACCAAGCCGUCCUCGCAGCUGCGGCUCUGGGCGGGGCUGACUGAGGGAGGGAACAAAGUUAACUUUUUCUACCUGGAGACUUAACUGGCUAGAGUGAAUAUCUAUUUCUUUGUAAUUAAGGACAUUUUGAAAUACAGAAAAAUAGUUUCCUUACAAGACUUUUAAUUUUAAACAUACGCAGAGCUUUCUGAAAGGGACGCCAUGUGUAGUUUGGUUUCUGUGGGCUGUGUGCCUUCCAUGUGCCUGGAGGAUGGGCAGGUGGUUUUGUAAUGUGUGUUGUCGUUUGCACCCAGCUGGUUCAGGUGUUAAACCAAAAGCAAUUAAUAAAGCAAAGCAGUGGUGGUGGUCAGUUUGGACCCCCUCCCCACGCCGGGGGCUUAUGCUCUGGAGCGGGCAGCGUGGUCUAAGUGGGACUUGUGUGUGAAUCGCUACACCUACGCUAAGUAGAAUGGGCAUUUAUUUGCAAACUCUGAAUUACACUUUUUUAUUUUAU